rnacentral:rRNA from 1 species
AUGCAGCGCCACAAUGGUGAACUAGUUGUUGCGUUGGCGAAAUGGUAUGCUUCCACGAAGAUCUGCAUGCCGCCACGCAGGCGCCUGCUUAGCUGGCAUGCUUAUCGUGGCGCUGGAGUGAUGGUGAAGUGGCAAAAAACCUUGCCGAGCGCGGGCCUGGCUAUCGCCCAGCGAUCAUCUCCGGCAAGGCUUGCCGGGGCCUUGGAGUUGUCCCGGGCAAGGGUCUUGCCGGGGGUCUUCGUCUUCCGAUCCCACGUGGACUCGUGGGUUGCCAAUCUUCGUGAGGAGCUGCAUGCUACCAGGCAUGUGCUCUCCAAAUCUUAG